UUGCCGAACAACAUUCGACUAUGGAUCAGUGACAAAGUUAUGCAAAUGGAGAUAUAUUCAAUGAUUUCUUUAUCUUCCAACGGUACAGGAAUACUUUACAAUAUCUAAAGUAGUAGACCCGAAACGACAAUCGGCAAAUUCCGUUCGACUACGUUUCUUCCGUAUGUGAUUUCGGUAUUCUCCGGUUGUUACGGAAACCAUUGCCCAAAUGAGCUUCAUUUAUUUUCAACGAGGAAUGCCGAAAUAGCAGAAGAGAAUAAGUAUUCGCACGGAAAUUGCGAUUGUCAUUUAGUAGGCAUUUAACUAGAGCAUUUUAUUUUCAAGGGAAAUAAUUGUGGUCUGACUGUAUUAUUUUGAAAAUCACAGUUGAGAAUUUUUUAUGUGUGCACCGGAUCAGUUUUGCGGGGAAGCGAAAGUUGCCAUGGAAUUUUGUCUUCUUCUAAAAACAAGUGCCUGAUACAUGUAGUUGAAGUCUGUCUUUGGAAGCUGUAGAAAUAACAAGAAAGAGGCUGAUAUAGUGUUUUGGUAGGGAAAAGUUGUUUGAGUAUGUACAUGUACAGUUGUUUGACCUGUCUUACUCUGUGGCAGUCCAAGAAGAUGUUACCGUUAUGAAAAAUGCAGGAGAACUUGAAGACAAUUGUUAGUGCAGAAGGGACAUAAAAGUUAUGACAAAAGUAACAGAUAUAAAUAAGGUAAACUAUUGUGAUAAAAAGACAUGGCCAGUGCACAUCACAAAGGCAAUAUUUGAAUUUAAUUUUUUGUCACUUAUGAGUUCUGUAAAGCUGAUUUUGCAAUAUAUAUAAAAUGAUUAGGAUUAAUUUUUUUUACUGUGAUAUAUUUU